rnacentral:lncRNA from 1 species
UAAAAUUGAUAUGUCGAAACCUAAUCCCCAAUGUGACGGUACUUGGAGGUGGGGCCUCUGGGAAGUGAUUAGGUUAUGAGGGUGCAACCCUCAGGAAUGGGAUUAGUGCCCUUAUCAAAGAGGGUCCAGAGAGAUCCCUUCCCUCUUCUGCCAUGUGAGGACACCAAGAGAAGAUGGCCAUCUGUGAACCAAUGCAGGCCCUCACCAGACUCUAAAUCUGCCAGUGACUUCUUCUUGGACUUCCAGCCUCCAGAAGUAAUGUGGACUAGUUAUCAAUCUGCCACAGCAGGAAGAUGGCCAGUGAUAUAAACUGUGUCUGAGUGAGAACUCCCCUGAUCCACAGGGCUGUCGGGAGCUUUAAUUGAAUCCAUUUAUUAGCCUCUCUUGUCAUCACACACUCCUGAAGACUGUGGACAAGAACGGGGGAACAGAGAGCAAACAAUGGAGCAGAAUGUGGCGCCCGACUAAGCUGUUUACAACUCGAAAAAGCCUAUAAAAGGACAAAGCUGUGCUUCUUCUGAAACUUUGUCUAGGGGUCAGGAAAGGGGCAUAUGUCCCACAGGA